rnacentral:rRNA from 1 species
ACGAACGCUGGCGGCAUGCCUAACACAUGCAAGUCGAACGAGCCCUUCGGGGUUAGUGGCGCACGGGUGCGUAACGCGUGGGAAUCUGCCCUUGGGUUCGGAAUAACAGUGAGAAAUUACUGCUAAUACCGGAUGAUGUCUUCGAACCAAAGAUUUAUCGCCCAAGGAUGAGCCCGCGUAGGAUUAGCUAGUUGGUGGGGUAAUGGCCUACCAAGGCGACGAUCCUUAGCUGGUCUGAGAGGAUGAUCAGCCACACUGGGACUGAGACACGGCCCAGACUCCUACGGGAGGCAGCAGUGGGGAAUAUUGGACAAUGGGCGAAAGCCUGAUCCAGCAAUGCCGCGUGAGUGAUGAAGGCCUUAGGGUUGUAAAGCUCUUUUACCCGGGAUGAUAAUGACAGUACCGGGAGAAUAAGCUCCGGCUAACUCCGUG